rnacentral:tRNA from 1 species
GCUGGAGUAGCUCAGCUGGUAGAGCAGCCGCCUUGUAAGCGGCAGGUCGCAGGUUCGAUCCCUGUCUCCAGCU